GACGAACGCUGGCGGCGUGCUUAACACAUGCAAGUCGAACGGUGAAGCGCCUUCCUUUUUGGUGGGUGUGGAUGAGUGGCGAACGGGUGAGUAACACGUGAGUAACCUGCCCCCUUCUUCUGGAUAACCGCAUGAAAGUGUGGCUAAUACGGGAUAUUCUGGGUCUGUCGCAUGAUGGGUCUGGGAAAGAUCUUGUUUCGGUGGGGGAUGGGCUCGCGGCCUAUCAGCUUGGUGGUGGGGUGAUGGCCUACCAAGGCGGUGACGGGUAGCCGGCCUGAGAGGGUGGACGGUCACACUGGGACGGAGACACGGCCAAGACUCCGACGGGAGGCAGCAGGGGGGAAUAUUGCACAAUGGGCGCAAGCAUGAUGCAGCGACGCCGCGGGAGGGAUGGAGGCCGUCGGGUUGUGAACCUCUUUCGCCAGUGAAGCAGGCCUGCCUAGUAUGUGGGUGGGUUGACGGUAGCUGGAGAAGAAGCGCCGGCUAACUACGUG
rnacentral:rRNA from 1 species